rnacentral:lncRNA from 10 species
AACAGUGCCUUGCUUGACCCUUUCACCCUGACUCUGCUGUCUAAUGAAGCACACAGACUCAUCAGCAAUUUUUUGAGGUUUGGUGUUAAGGACGAGAUUUAUAUGACAAAGAUAUUUCUGGCAAGACGUGGAGAGAAAGAGUCCCUUCAAUGAAAAAAUGCAAGACUGUUCUGACUGCUUUUUCAGAAAUAUAUCCACCAACUUCUGUAUGAAGUCACCAAGAAUACCGCAACCAGCAAAGAACUCCUCUCUAAAAACGUGGCUCAUCCCCUCGAAAGAUCCAGGUGAACACACUGGGAUUCAUCACGGAAAGAACUCAACCCAUGGAGAAUGAAGAGGAGCAAGACAGGAAAAUCACCCAUCUGGGAAUGGCAUGGAGCCAGGGGAGGCUCCCCAACCAUGGGGAAAUGGUGCUCACCAUUGGCCAGCCCCACCAAAAGCCAAACUAUAAGGAGGCAUCCAGCCAAACAGCCUCUUCAGUCUUGGAACAGCUUGGAAAAUGAAUCUGGAAGGACAAAUAGGUGAUCUACAGCAUAAUCUCCAUUAUAGUGUACUUUCUCUUCAUCCGGUUGAUUUGGUUUGGAUCUGUGUCCCCACCCAAAUCUCAUGUUGAACUGUAAUCUCCAGUGUUGGAGGUGGGGCCUCGUGGGAGGUGUUUGGAUCAUGAAGGCAGAUUCCUUAUGAAUGAUUUGGGCCAUCCCUUUGGUGAUGAGUGAGCUCUUGCUCUGAGUUGACAGGAGAUCUGGUCAUUCAAAAGUGUGUGACAUGCUCCCUGCCUCCACCUGCUCUUGCUCAUGCUUUUGCCAUGUGACUUGCCUGCCCCUUGUUCGCCUUCUGCCAUGAUUGUAAGCUUCCAGAAGCCUCCCUGGAAGCUGAGUAGUUGCCAGCACCAUGCUUCCUGUAAAGUCUGAAGAACUGUGAAUGAAUUAAACUUCUUUUCUUUAUAAAUUACUUUAUAAAUGGUAAAGGUAUUUCUUUACAGUAAUGCAAGAAUGCCCUAAUACACAGGUCCGAGAUCAAAGGAUAAAAAAUUA